rnacentral:rRNA from 1 species
ACGCUCGACACCUACGGGAAGCAGCAGUCGGGAAUAUUGCGCAAUGGAGGAAACUCUGACGCAGUGACGCCGCGUGCAGGAAGAAGGUUUUCGGAUUGUAAACUGCUUUAGACAGGGAAGAGGAAGGACAGUACCUGUAGAAUAAGCUCCGGCUAACUACGUGCCAGCACGCCGACGGUAAUCUGAGGCGGGCGUGGACGAAGGC